UGAGGAAUAUUGGACAAUGGGUGAGAGCCUGAUCCAGCCAUCCCGCGUGAAGGACUACAGCCCUAUGGGUUUUAAACUUCUUUUGUAUGGGGAUAAACCUAUCUACGAGUAGAUAGCUGAAGGUACCAUACGAAUAAGCAUCGGCUAACUCCGUGCCAGCAGCCGCGGUAAUACGGAGGAUGCGAGCGUUAUCCGGAUUUAUUGGGUUUAAAGGGUCCGUAGGCGGACUUAUAAGUCAGCGGUGAAAUCCUAUAGCUUAACUAUAGACCUGCCGUUGAUACUGUAAGUCUUGAAUAGUAUUGAAGUAGCCGGAAUGUGUAGUGUAGCGGUGAAAUGCAUAGAUAUUACACAGAACACCAAUUGCGAAGGCAGGUUACUAAAUACCGAUUGACGCUGAUGGACGAAAGCGUGGGGAGCGAACA
rnacentral:rRNA from 1 species